UACGUAGGGUGCAAGCGUUAAUCGGAAUUACUGGGCGUAAAGCGUGCGCAGGCGGUUUUGUAAGCCAGGUGUGAAAUCCCCGGGCUCAACCUGGGAAUUGCGAUGGAGACUGCAAGGCUAGAAUCUGGCAGAGGGGGGUAGAAUUCUACGUGUAGCAGUGAAAUGCGUAGAGAUGUGGAGGAACACCGAUGGCGAAGGCAGCCCCCUGGGUCAAGAUUGACGCUCAUGCACGAAAGCGUGGGGAGCAAACAG
rnacentral:rRNA from 1 species